UUUUCAUAGAGAACAAUCCUUUGGUGGCCAAUUACUUUUUAUAAAAUUAAUUCGUUAAAUUCAUUUAUCCAGCAAUUUCUUUUCAAUACAUCAUUUUUUAUAUAUGCAAGAAUUAAAAUCGAGUAAUAAAAAAAAUAUAAUUUUUAACUUGGUUGCAACAUUAUCCAGUCACAUUUUUCUUUUUGUAUUCCUAAUGUACGAUGGGUGAAAUAAAAUAUUCGUCAGGAUGCUUUAACGAUCGAAACAAACGUUAUUAUAUCGUUCUUGUGUUCGCAAGAAUAUAUGAAUUUGCAUAAAUUGUACGACGAACAUCCGAUUGUUUAAGGAAAGAAAACAGGAUGCAGUAAUAACAUUGUAUGUUAAAAACUAACGAUAAAAUGCUUUUGUGAGUGUGUGUGUGUGUAUGUACGUAUAUAUAUAUGUGUGUGUAUAUAUAUUUAUAUAUAAAACUUCCAUAACGAGAAUCAGCCUGUCACCGACGCAGUGUCUUGUUUCACUUCUCGUUCAAAGCGGUACCAGCUUUCGAGAUUUCUAAAUUUUCACCACCACGAUUUUAAAUCGAUUGUAAAAGAUCUCGAUCGGUUCGAGAAUCGAUCGUUUCCAGUCGAACGGAGCUGUUUUCAAUUUACGAAUGAAAAGAGAGGGGGGAAACGUGAUAAUACGAUUAACACGUUGAACAAGGAAAACCAAUUCCACUACGUGAGAUGGAUGAAAUGGAUGGAAAAUUAUGGAGAAUUAUUAAUAUCGGGAAUAAAAACGGAAGAAACGAAAUAUAUGUUUUUCAGCCAUUUUGUAUUAUUGGAAAAUUUUAAAACGCAUCAUCGAGAUUCAAAGAUUAUUUAUUCGUAUAAAUAAUGUUGCAGUGCGAUCAUUAAUAUUUUUGAAAUAUUUUUAAGGAGAUGGAAAACAAUGAAUAAUUCGAAUAAAUAUGACAAUGUGAAUUUUAAAAUUUACUCAAAUUUUCAAACAAAUGUAAUUUAUCACACUGUGUCUAUGUUAGCAUUUGUCUUAUAAAUUUGUGUGAUUUUUCUUACAGUUUUUACAAUCAAUCAACGUAAAUACCAAUGAAAUAAAUUAUUUAAUUUGUGAAUAAUUAGCACUGGCAAUUUAAAAUUUGUUUAAUAUUGUGAGGUAGAUGAUGAUCGAAUCGAUAUUGAUUUCUUAAGAAAUAUUGAACAUUACGCUCGAAUAAUCGUGCAGUUGCAAGAGAUGCAAAAGCCAAGUAAAAGUAUGUUUAAAAAUGAAAGUGAAAGUCGAAUGAGAAAGCGGUUAUUUCUCUGCUGCGAAGAAGUUUUUCAAUGGUAAAAAAAAAAAAAAAAAACUAUGAAAAGAAAUCGAUAGGUAUCGGGCAGAAAGUCGAGAUCGAGGAUUUGAUAAUUUUCAUUGUAUUUCAAUAUAUAAAAAUAUACGAUCGAGGCUUGAAUCUCCCAUUUUUUCUUCCAUUUUUUUCGAAACAACUUUUCAUUUUUGUUAAUUUUCUUUCCUACGAAAAGAAAAGAAAAGAAAAGAAAAAAAAGAAAUUACUUUCAUCUUGGAAUGUUCACCGUAGUAAUAUUAUCGAUAUAUUGUUUUAAUUGAUCAUUUGUUAUAUAAUUAAUUUUACGUAAGAGGCGAGAAAACGCGAUACAAAUUGUUAUUCUCACUUUGAAAUCGGUUGCCAAUCAUAUCGAUCAUACGUUCGAGUAUUUAAUAUGUUCGGUCAGUUCAUGGACAGUUCCGAUAUGAAUUUUAAAUGCAACGUUGAAAACGCGCCUUUUAUGAUGAGACAACAAAGAAGAAUCGCUUCUCACGGCAUUCGAUGGAAAGAAAGAAUCGUGCUCGAUCUACGGUCACACCCUUCUUUUGUGGUAUUCACUUAUUGGAUAUUACCUGGAAUAACGAACUACCGCGAUUUAUCAUGAUUUAUAAGCGAACUUUUUCAUCCAUAAAACCGCGAAACCUGAUUUCGAACACGGUCGUUGCUCGAUCGAGAUUUUACGCUUUUAUCGAUCGCCAUCGAAUACGUUUCAUCGUAAUUAGAUGAUAUCUUCUGUGGAAAGAUUGUAAUAUAGUUUUAUUUCGUGAAUAAACGAGAGAAGAAAGCAUGGUUUGUAUAUUUUUUUUUGUAUAUUUUAAUUUGGAAAGUAUAAGAUAACAGGAUGAUGAGUAAGAAGAGAUUUGCAACAAGUUUUAUAUAAUUUAUACACGUAUACUUUUGAUUGUUAAUGUUUUGCGAAGAAAAUUUUUUUCUAAAUUUUUUAAUCGCCACGCUUUUGAUUCAUUUAAAUCACUUUUAAUAUUCGUGAAAAUAAUAGUCCAAGGAGAUCAUUAAUAAGUGGAUUAAACGUAAAAAAGUGAGAAGUCUAGAAAGCGUGGAAUUAUCUUUCUUAUUUGUUGCAUCUAUGCAACCUCCAGAACUUUUAUUUGCUAUAGUAGAUAUCAUAUUUAUGAUUAUGAUAACUGUUAAGAAAUAAAAUUCAUCAACUUUGCUAGAAUCGAGUUCUAAAUCUGAUUAUUCCUUUCAGAUCAUUACAUACGUCUCUUUUACAAUUUUAAUUGACGUUUAAUUGCUAUUAAAAUGGGGACAAGUAUAAUGUUUGAGUCAUCUCGUGAACUACGACUAAAAGUCGUAUAUAUCGUAUAUCUGUGAUAAUGAGUUUCAAGAAUAGGUCAAAAUAACACUGCUUGUAUAAUGAUAAAUGAAAUAGGAAACUGGUUUCUUGAGAAGAUAUCGUUGCAAUAAUUUAUACGAAUAAAUAAUAAUAUUUAAACCUUAAGUUAUCAAGGUUUGUCUAUUCUUGGAAACGGUGUGUGAAUUAAUGGAGCGCGACGAGAUUCAAUUAUUCAACGUCGCGCGUUCGAUCGAUCGCCGGAGAUUUCAAUGCCUGAUAUCGAUUAAUCGUUCUAAAGACGCGUCUGCGCAUUUGUGUUCGAGAUACGCGCAUGCGCUCUUCCCGCUCAUAAAUUACUGGGAGACGCUUCUCAAUAGUAAAUACUAUGCAGUGAAAAGAUGACACGGAGAAUAUAUCAGUAGGAAGGAAAGGAUAAUUAAUUCUCCAUCGUGAAGAAAAGAGGCGAGUAAAGCGCGGUGAACGAAACGCACAGAAACGGUGCUCACCGGUGCUAGGAACUGCGUUCAAGGAGAACAGCAAACGAAGAAUUACGUAAUUCGGGUUACGUUCUUUUGAUGUACAAAUGAUUUUAACGCGAAACAGGAAAUCACCUUUUUUGCUUUUUUCCACUAGCAAAUCUCGGCAUCGUUCCGUUUCAAGGAUUUAUGGAAGAUCGUUCAACUUGAACGUCCGACGAAAUUGGAACACAAUUUGAAUUUUUAUUUCUUGAAAAUUGAAGAUGGAAAAAAUAAGGUAUAUAUUAAAAGGUAUAAAAGAAACUUUUGUAAAAUUUAUAAAAAUACAAUUUAGAUAUUAAAUAUGUAAUAAUGAUUAAUAACGUAUCGUAUUUAGCAUUCGUAUGUGAAGAUUUAUUAUUAAAUUAAGAUCGUUAUUAUUCUAAUUUUACACGCUCUUUAAUCGUUUUAAAUGGCCGCGCGCCAUAAUUUUUCGAGGUUGAACAUUGAAAACGAGGUGAUUAUUAUUAACACGUGAUAAAAAGUACACGUGUUACGGUGUUAAAAUGAGGACGACGUUCUCGGACCAAUCGGAGCGAGCAAAAACUCUUGCGUGUAUGAGGCAAGGACGAUCAUCGUCGAUUUAAAUGAAACUUGUAGAAAAUUUCCAUUUAGGAUCUAUAAUGGGACCGGUAGAACAAGUUCUACUGGUGUUCUUUUGGCUAUAGUUAAGAAAAAAAAAAAUAAAUAAAUAAAUUGAAAGAUACAUAAGCAACAAGAUACAGGUGUAACGAGUGUUCAAAAUCAAAAUAAUGAAGGAUAAUGAAUCGAUACUCGAGAUAUUAAGCGUUUUUUUUUUAACUAUAAAUCUUAUUUCUGUGGAAAGUUUUUUAUUCUUUUUUUCCGUUUUGACUUUUAAACGACAUUGAAAUUAUAGAGGAAAGAAAAAAAAAUUAAUUUCAAAGUAGCGAAGUAUGAAAUUGUUCGUGGUAUAAAAAAUUAACGAGAUUUAAUUAUAUUUGUAUGAAAUAUUGAUGAUUAAGUAAUAUAUCUUAAGAAACGGUAAUUUUUUUGAGAAAUAUGUUUCUUGUUUUAUUUUCUUGUUAUGUUUAUAAAAAUUAUGGAAGGAAAUAAUAUUUGGAUUCAGAGGAAUGCAUUAUUCAAGAAUUUUAAUUUUAGAAUGUUUACAAAUUGGAUUAUAUUCUUAUAUUAUUUUUAUUUCUUAUUCAAGGAAUUUUUAUUUCCAAAUUUAUUUCCAAAUUAUAUUUAAUCUAAAUAUACAUAAUUGCAUAUGUAUUUCAUUAAUUUUUCAUUCAAUUUCUAUUUUAUAGUUAUUUUGCAUUAAAAUCGCAUAAAUAAAAUUACGUUUUUAGAUUGCCAAUUCCAAUUGCAUAAAUUGAUCUUACUUUCUAUCAAUUGCCUCAAAUCAACUGAAAAUUAUACUAUAUCCAUCUUAUAUUAUUUUAACAUUCAUAAAUUGAAAUAUUUAUAAAAUGAAUAUUAAAAAUAUGAUUUAUUGCAGAUUUUAAACAUUUUGUUAAUAUUACUAUUUUUAUACAUAUUGUGCUUCAAAAUUUUGCCGCGGAAUUUCUUUUUUUCUCUUUUCUUUUCAUAUCACAUUGUUCACAAACGUGAUUUGAAAGAGAGAAAAUUUGCACAUGCUAAUUAAUCAAUCACGUGUUGAAAGUUAAACACUAUAUACCUCGAGCAUUAACGUCUAUUCUCUUUUCCUGCUAACAAGUGAAAGUUCUCAGAAAAGGUUAUGUAUACGUAUACCUACGUACAAUAUGUACACGUGUAUUUACUCGAUCCUCUGCCAAUAAUCAACGAUAAUUUUAAUUUUCUGCUUCGCUAGUGACUUGAGAAGAAUCUGAAUGCCAUUCUACAAAUGUACGUUGAAAGUUGACAUUAAUAAUUUAACGAUUAAUUCGUUAUGAAAAUUCACUAUUUCAUCGAUUUUAAAUAUGAUAUUAACAAUAAUGGAUACACCAAUUAGGAAUGUUAAAUUUUGAAAAAGUAAGUUCACAUAUAUUUAUUUAUUUUUCAUUUUCCUUUGUCAAAAUUAUUUUUUUCUUUCCGUCACCAGAAUUUUCGAUAGAAUUUUUACAUCGAUACGAAAGUAUACAAAGAAGAUGCUGCGCUUUAUUUUCUCGAUGGAAAGGUAUACACGGCGCAACGGAAAGUGGGUUGCCCGUUGCACGCAUCGGCAACAAGUCGCACAGUACAUCGAUUUCUUCUUCGUAUCCCCUCUUCUUUCGCGAAAAAAAUAUCGCGAAAUCCAAUCGAUUUCCUUUUCCUCGCGAGAUAUACACUUUGGAAAUGUAUAUUUCUACGAGUUGGCCCAGUUUCUUCGACCGGCUCGAAAGUAAAAUUGAAAUAGAUAUGCAUGAUGUGUUGCAUGGAAGAUUUCGAUGGAUGGUUAAUGAUAUGGAAAGAAUCAUUCUCUAUUCCAACAGGAAAGAAAAUAUUGUAUAAUUUUUCUAUCAAAAUUUAUUAUAUAAAUUUUCACGAUAAGAUUCAUUUCUAUGAAUUAUAAAUAAAUAGAAUUAGAAUUGGAUGGUGAAGAAUUGAAUGUGCAGAGCAAGAAGCGAAAAAUUGCAAGAGAUACGUUAAUUAACCUCGUGUUUAAGGAACAGUGGAACAGUAUGUGAUUUAUACACAUUCAAAAUAAAUAUGUUGAAUUUAUAUAUAAACGUGCAAUAAUCUGAAUGCAACUCGAGAAACGAUACUCAAACGCAAAAACACGAAGUAAUCACGACUUUCUCGUAAAAUGCUCGAUCAAACGAUAGCAUUGAAUGGAAGAGCGAGGUUUAUUGGACCCAGUGUAGAAUUGCAACCAGAAGCUGGUCGGUAGCCAUUCCUUUCAUUACGUUCACCGAUAUUCUAGAAAGUUGUCACUUGGAGGAGGCCUUCUCUCUUUCGCCCAGUCAGAAACUUGAUGCAACUAACGUUUCUUGCACGAUAAUGGUUUCCUGCUGACCGAUCACAAAUUAGAUUCUCGAAAGUAUCGCGAGAGGCAACUUCCUUCCUAAACACGUAUUUCACGUUUUCAUAAUAUAUUCUUACAAUAUGUACUUCGUAAUCCAAUUUUAGAUGUUCUUGACAAAUUGAAUUUAAUAAUUUAAAUGUCGUGUUGUACGCAACGUAAUCAGUGAUGGGCAAAAUUUUAAUGGUUUAUUUUAAUAAGUUACUCGAAUAAUUUAUUAUUCAAAGUUUAUUCAAAUUAUUCAAAUAAUUAUAAUUAAUUGCAAAAAGUAAUGAAUAAACAUUAUUCAUUUUAAAUAUUAAAAUAACCAACUCUGAAUACGAUUGACGAACAUGACUUGUUAAUAUGUCUACGUUUAAUUUUUUUUAAUUUAAAUAUAAUUCGAGAAAGCACUUAAGCGAAGAAUCCAUUCGAAUCAUAAAUUGAUACAAAUAUAUUUUAUUAUUUAAUAUAAAAGCAAAAUGCAAAAUGUUAAGUAUCUAAAAACAAGAAAAAAAACUCGUUUCAUAUUUUUCUUCAUUUUUCUUCACUUACUGCCUUUCUCCAUAAUUGGAUAGCGUAGAAAUAGUAGAAAUCGUUCGACUUUCAGUAAUCGGUCAAUUGAGAUUAGUUAAUAUAUGCACUAAUAUGCAAAAAUUUCUUGUAAUAUAAAACUGAAAAAGAUAAGAAAAGAUAGGAAUGAAACUUUUGAAGCUUCGUUUUCAAAGAAAACGAGUUUCAAAUCUUUUCAACUACAGAAUUAAUCAUUUUCAAUUAGAUACAAAUAAAUUAUCUAUAAUAAUUGAUUAUUACAUUGUGUGAAAAUAGACAAAAAAAUAUAGAAUCAAAUCGUAUCUUAAAUCUUUGCCUUUGAGAGAAUCCAUAAUAUCUUUUUUUACUUACAUUUUCACACGAACAAUGAAAUACAAUGGAUAAUUCAUUAACAUCUAAUCAAAAAAUAAUCAUUUCAAUUAUAUUCGAAAACAAAGUCUCAAAUUUUGUUCUCUAUUUUUUCCAUUUAUUUUUUCAUUUCUUAUUUACUUCUUACUUUUUCACUUCUUAAAAUCACAAUUUCUUGCCUUUGCUCAAAGUUACUCGAAUAUUUUUAAAAAAAAAAUUUUUUUAAAAAUAUUAUACACAACGAAUGAUCGUUGUAUACCGCUUAUCGCAGUGUGAGGAUCCAUGAUGGCCGCUAAAUCGAGCGUCUCAUCCUCGGCCCGCGUUCGAUUUCUAUCGUUCUGGCGCUGAGGUUACAGCGCGAUAACGCGAGGAGAGUCCGCUUUCACUCGCGACCAGGAAGAAAACGAGUUGCAUCAACGGAUGAUUGCUACGGCGAUAUUUAUUUAACUUUCGAAGUUUUGAGGAAUAGCUCGAGGACCGAUACGGUCUCCGGUUUGCGGUCUCCUCUUUGAGGAUUAUCUUUCAAGUUUUUGCAACUUGGAGAAACAUUCGUGGGAAGCGAAUUAGUAGAUAUUAUUCAAUCGCGUUGUAUAACCGUUAGUUACAUUUUUUUAAUUAUACCAUUAUUAAUUGAAUUUUGUUUGUUAUCGAUGAUAAUAAUAAUAGUCGUGACAAAGCGAUAUAACGUCGAGAUACUUGCUAUUGUUAUUAUUAUUUUUUAAAUAUUCGUUCUUUAUAAUAAUAAUAAUAAGAAUAAUAAUAAUGGUAUCUUAUUUUGUUUGAUUCCGUGAGAAAAGUUAUGAAAGGAACGUUUACGCGAUGUACAUCGGAAGAAAACUUUUGCAUUUUAAUUCUGAAUUCGUUAGAGAUGUAAUACCUACGUUGAAUUGGAUUUUAUGUACACUUCAAUCCAUUAUCCAAACAUUUCUUUUUUUUUUUUUUCUUUGCAAUUCUAAUAAUUUUCUAAUAAUCGUGGUAAUUGAUUUUACAUCGUUAUCAAUAUAAUGAAAAAUUUAUUAAUGUUGAAAUGAACGUUAGAAACGUUCAAACUGCUUAGUGGUAUACUUAUAUCGUUCGUAGUGCAAUAAAACAGUGGAAAAUAAUUAAAUAGCGUAUCGUAAUCCUGGUAUGUUAAUAAUAUGUAUAAAAUUUACGAGUUACAGAUUAUACGUAUUAUAAAUGACGAUAUGACGAGUUGGAUAUUUUUAUAUUGAAAUUAACGACUAAUUUUACGUUAUCGAUGAAAUUUUCUUUAAAAAAUUUUUAUUACAGGAAUUAAUGAUAUUAUAUAGAACAAUAUUUUUGUCACUUAUCACUCUCUACGUUCAAAAGAUAUUUCAAAGAGAAUAUUUUAUCUUU